rnacentral:rRNA from 1 species
CAGCAGCCGCGGUAAUACGUAGGUGGCAAGCGUUGUCCGGAAUUAUUGGGCGUAAAGGGCUCGCAGGCGGUUUCUUAAGACUGAUGUGAAAGCCCCCGGCUCAACCGGGGAGGGUCAUUGGAAACUGGGAAACUUGAGUGCAGAAGAGGAGAGUGGAAUUCCACGUGUAGCGGUGAAAUGCGUAGAGAUGUGGAGGAACACCAGUGGCGAAGGCGACUCUCUGGUCUGUAACUGACGCUGAGGAGCGAAAGCGUGGGGAGCGAACAGGAUUAGAUACCCCCGUAGUCCCUGUCUCUUAUAA